UGCACCCACCAUUCUGAUCAUCUGCA
rnacentral:piRNA from 1 species